GGGGCGCGGGGCGCCGAUUGGAGCCCGCGCGUCAGCUGGGGCCGCCGUCUGGACGCUUAAAGGGCCAGGCCGCCCUGCGCGCCGGCGGGGGGCGCGGACACGCGUGGCGUGCGCGGCCCCUGCGCAGGCUGCUCCGCCGCGGGCCGCGGGGGCCCCCGGCCGAGCCCCCCUGCUCCCAUCCCAGCGGGCGGGCCCGGCCCCACAGUCCCGCGCGGAGCCCCCGUGCGCCGGGAAGUCCGUCCCAGAGUCUAAUCUCGGUGCCUUCCAGCUGCGCCACAGGGGCGGGGGCGGAGCCGGAGGCGGCCCCGAGGCCGGGACGCUGGGCGCGCCCACUCCCCCACUGGCUGCCGAACGGCUUCCACCUGCUCCCCUGAGGAGCCCACGCCGAGACCGAGCCCUCGUACCCCAGCCUCGCUCGCCGCCCCCCACCCUCUGGCCCGGGCUGCUCUGACCUGAGGCAAAGAUGUCUGUAUGCAAGUCACCUCAGCUGAAUGACAAGAACAAAGUCUGGAGGAAAUCUGAAGUUUGCAGAGGAAGAAAGACCAAGCAUCAUCAAUGCUUCUCUGGGUGGCUCCCCAUCCCUGUUCAUACCUGGACCGACUGUGGGGAUCAUACGAGCUGCUCCUGGAUCUGCUCCUGCUGGAUGUCCUAAUAUGAAUCACAUGAGGGACUAUCAUCUUAUAGGUCAGGAUAGGCCAUAUAAAAAAUCUAGACAUUUCUUUACCAUCAAGGAAAAAACACCAUGAAAUCCAGUAGCUGUAUCUACUUCAUUUAUCAAAAGAACACUGGAUUUUAAAAAAGCAUGUUGGAUUUCAUUAGAAAGAUUACCUGAGAGGCGAAAGAGGGUUUGAUGAAGCUGGGAGAACAUGGGUCCCACAUGCUCCACCCUGUGGCCUCUUAUUAACAAAUCAAUCCUCUUAUCCCAGUCCUAAACCCAAGCCAAGAGGUGACUGCAGAUGUGAACUGAGGUCAAAGAAGAUAUACUGGAGGGAGGGGGAGAUGGUGGGCAGAGUUGCUUUUUUUUUUUUUUUAAGAUUAUUUAUUUAUUUAUUCAUGAGAGACAGAGAGAGAAGCAGAGACACAGGCAGAGAGAGAAGCAGGCUGCGUGCAGGAAGCCCGAUGUGGGACUCGAUCCCGGGACUCCAGGAUCACGCCCUAGGCCGAAGGUAGGCCUAAACUGCUAAGCCACCCGGGGAUCCCUGGGCAGGGCCUCUUAAAGAUUUCUACUGCUUCUUUCCUCACUCUGAGAAAAUCACAUCUUGAAAAAAGCCAGUGAGAAUCUGACAGUUCCUAGAAAGAAACAACUAGACAAGACAAUAGGCCUGUCUGGUAUUCAGUGAUGGUAGGAUUCUUUUCAUCGGCUCCCACCACUCUGCCUGUGCAGCCCUUGAAAAGCAGACAAAAUAAAUAAAUAAAAUAAAAAAUAAAAAUAAAUUAAAAAAAAGAAAAGCAGACAGGAUGCAGACCACAUGGUAGGGUUGG